GCCAUGAGAGCCUGGUAGCCGGGCUGAGCGGGGGAGUCAUCUCCACUCCGGUGCUGCACCCGCUCGACUUGGUUAAGAUCCGAUUCGCAGAUACUGCAAUGCUAUACUAAUGGGCACGGCUGCUGGGAGUUCUUGGAGCGAUGGUCUGGAGUUACGGCCCAAAUACAGAGGCAUCAUGCAUUGUUUGGCCACAGUCUGCCAGCGAGAGGGACUUCAAGGUCUGAACCAAGGAGUCACCCCUAAUAUGUGGGGAGCUGGAGCCUCUUGGGGCUUGUACUUCUUCUUGUUAGUAUUGAUAUUUUACGUGUGAGUGAUGCUGGGUGCUCAAGUGGAUCUGAAAUAUAGAGCAGGUGGAGCUUUAACUCUAUGCUUUACAAACCCAAUAUGGGUUACUAAGACCCGGCUGGUUCUGCAAUAUGAUUCUGGGAAUGACUCCUCAAAGCUUCAGUACAGAGGAAUGUUCCAUGCACUUGGCAAGAUUUACAGGAACGAAGGCAUACCUGGGCUCUACAAGUGUUUACACUACACCCUAAGGUGCACAAGGCCUGUGCUGCAGAUGAGUGGGGCCAGAUGCUGAGUUGAAAGAGUCGGGUAGUGUCAUCAAACAGGAGCUCACCAAAUCUGUCUUUCAUCAAUUCCCUCUUCAGCAAUCUGUUUUCAAGCAGCAAACUGGCAGCCGAAUACAUCAAUGGAGGAUGUCUGUUUAUUGGAAGUCCUGGGGCCAGAAACAGGAUAAGACACAAACGUGCACAUACAGUAGAGUGGUCUCAAGAGGCCCCUGAAAAUCAGCUUCUUUGGUGGGUUCUUACAAUAUUCGAUAUGAAAAGAGUCCAGAGCUCCAGUAUUUAAUAUUCCCAACAUAAGGUGACCCUCUUAUCAGUGGAGUAACUAGAUGUCGCUGGAGUCCACAGCAAAUUCAAUUUAGGGCCCCAUAAUAUUGAUAAGUGUGUUUUAUUUUACGCAAUGCUAACGCCAGAUUUUCCGCUGUAAUUUUACACUACUUCAGAUCUUUGUAAGUAAGUUCUGGCGGAAGUUACUGAAAGAAAACACCAACAUAUAUUUUUACAUGCCUGGCAUGUAUGGCGAACUAUUCUGACGUUUUUUUAUACCACAUAAUAAA